rnacentral:rRNA from 1 species
GACAGAGGGUGCAAACGUUGCUCGGAAUUACUGGGCGUAAAGCGCGUGUAGGCGGGCUAGUAAGUCGGACGUGAAAUCCCUGAGCUCAACUCAGGAACUGCAUCCGAAACUAUUAGCCUUGAGUGGUGGAGAGGGAAGCAGAAUUCCUGGUGUAGAGGUGAAAUUCGUAGAUAUCAGGAGGAACACCGGUGGCGAAGGCGGCUUCCUGGACACUAACUGACG